GACGAACGCUGGCGGUGCGUAUUAAACAUGCAAGUCGAACGAGAAAGUACCCUUCGGGGUGCGAGUAAAGUGGCAAACGGGUGAGUAAUACCUGGAUAAUCUGCCUUCUGGCUCGGGAUAACAUCGGGAAACCGGUGCUAAUACCGGAUGAGCUCACGCCAUCGCAUGGUGGCGCGGGAAAAGGUGGCCUCUAUUUAUAAGCUAUCACCGGAAGAUGAGUCCAGGCCCCAUUAGCUUGUUGGUAGGGUAACGGCCUACCAAGGCUCCGAUGGGUAGCCGGCCUGAGAGGGUGACCGGCCACACUGGGACUGAGAUACGGCCCAGACUCCUACGGGAGGCAGCGGUUUGGAAUUUUGGUCAAUGGGCGCAAGCCUGAACCAGCGACACCGCGUGGGUGAGAAGGCGUUAAACCGUCGUAAAGCCCUUUUAGGGGGAAAGAAAAAGGGCAGGGCUAAUAUCCAUGCCCCUUGACGUUACCCCCAGAAAAAGCCACGGCUAACUCUGUGCCAGCAGCCGCGGUUAUACAGAGGUGGCAAGCGUUGUUCGGAAUUACUGGGCGUAAAGGGCUCGUAGGCGGUUAGGUAAGUCGCGUGUGAAAGCCCGUAGCUUAACUGCGGAAGUGCACGCGAUACUGCCUAGCUUGAGUACAGGAGAGGAGAGCGGAACUCCUAAUGGAGCGGUGGAAUGCGUAGAUAUUAGGGAGAACACCGGUGGCGAAAGGCGGCUCUCUGGCCUGAUACUGACGCUGAGGAGCGAAAGCUAGGGUAGCAAACAGGCUUAGAUACCCUGGUAGUCCUAGCUGUAAACGAUGGGCACUAGGUGUGGGGGGGAUCGACCCCCUCUGUGCCGUAGCUAACGCAUUAAGUGCCCCGCCUGGGGAGUACGGUCGCAAGGCUGAAACUCAAUGAAAUUGACGGGGGCCCGCACAAGCGGUGGAGCAUGUUGCUCAAUUCGAUGCAACGCGAAGAACCUUACCGGGGCUAGAACUCCUAUUGCUCGCCAUCGAAAGAUGGCUUUCCAUUGGACGAUAGGAAAGGUGCUGCAUGGCUGUCGUCAGCUCGUGUCGUGAGAUGUUGGGUUAAGUCCCGCAACGAGCGCAACCCCUGUUUCCAGUUGCCAGCGGUUCGGCCGGGCACUCUGGAGAGACUGCCGGCGGUAAGCCGGAGGAAGGCGGGGACGACGUCAAGUCCUCAUUGCCCUUAUGUCCCGGGCUGCAAACGUGCUACAAUGGUCGGUACAAAGAGUUGCGAUACCGCGAGGUGGAGCUAAUCUCUAAAAGCCGGCCUCAGUUCGGAUUGGAGGCUGCAACUCGCCUCCAUGAAGCUGGAAUCGCUAGUAAUCGCGUAUCAGCACGACGCGGUGAAUACGUUCCCGGGCCUUGUACACACCGCCCGUCAAUUCACUAAAGCUGGUUGUACUCGAAGUCACCGAGCUAACCUUCUUGGAGGCAGGUGCCCAAGGUAUGACCAGUGAUUGGG
rnacentral:rRNA from 1 species